rnacentral:rRNA from 1 species
UACAGAGGGGGCGAGCGUUGUUCGGAAUUACUGGGCGUAAAGGGCGCGUAGGCGGCCUUCUAAGUCGAACGUGAAAUCCCCGGGCUCAACCCGGGAACUGCGUCCGAUACUGGGAGGCUUGAAUCGGGGAGAGGGAUGUGGAAUUCCAGGUGUAGCGGUGAAAUGCGUAGAUAUCGGGAGGAACACCUGUGGCGAAGGCGACCCCCUGGUUGGAUACUGACGCUGAGACGCGAAAGCGUGGGGAGCAAACGGG